rnacentral:lncRNA from 1 species
CCUCAUUGAGGUAAGCAAGCCAAUCCCCUAUUUCGUGAAGUUUGAGAUCUUUUAGGUACCUCGAGAGGAGAAUGCUCGGGCUGAUGCACUAGCAGGAGUCGCCUUAGCUUGGACGGUAAAGGACGAGUGAUGGCUGGUUGAAACGUUGCUAGUGAGGAGCAUUGACAUCUUGCAAGUCUUUCAGACUAAGGACGAGCCCUCUUGGAUGGACAUCUUGUGGUACAAAAGUAACAAAGUACUCUUGACCGACCCAGCAUCGGUGAGGCGAGUCAAGUACCAUUAAGCGUGGCACUGUGUAAUAAAUGAC